rnacentral:pre_miRNA from 1 species
AGGGGUUCGCUGGAUCUUGGGCUGUGUCCCCAGUGCCCUGUGCUCCCGGACCUGUGCUGUUGGAAUCGCGGUCCCAGCUGCACAGCUCCCU